GAUGAACGCUGGCGGCGUGCCUAAUACAUGCAAGUCGAGCGAACAGACGAGGAGCUUGCUCCUCUGACGUUAGCGGCGGACGGGUGAGUAACACGUGGAUAACCUACCUAUAAGACUGGGAUAACUUCGGGAAACCGGAGCUAAUACCGGAUAAUAUAUUGAACCGCAUGGUUCAAUAGUGAAAGACGGUUUUGCUGUCACUUAUAGAUGGAUCCGCGCCGCAUUAGCUAGUUGGUAAGGUAACGGCUUACCAAGGCAACGAUGCGUAGCCGACCUGAGAGGGUGAGUCGCCCCACGGGAAAUGAGAAACGGUCCAGACCCCUAGGGGAGGGAGCAGGGGGGAAUAUUGGAGAAUGGGGGAAAGGCUGAACGAGCCACGCCGGGGGGGGGAAGAAGGUUUUCGGAUUGUAAAGACUUUUUAGUUGGGAAGAAAAAAAGUGGUAUAAAACAUUGCGGUUUUGACGGUACCAAAAGAAAAAGCCCCGGCUAACUUAGUG
rnacentral:rRNA from 1 species